rnacentral:rRNA from 1 species
UACGUAGGUGACAAGCGUUGUCCGGAUUUACUGGGCGUAAAGAGCGCGCAGGCGGUCGAUCAAGUCGAGUGUGAAAGCCCCCGGCUCAACUGGGGAGGGUCAUUCGAUACUGAUCGACUCGAAGGCAGGAGAGGGUAGUGGUAUUCCCGGUGUAGCGGUGAAAUGCGCAGAUAUCGGGAGGAACACCAGUGGCGAAGGCGGCACUCUGGGCCGGAACUGACGCUGAGGGGCGAAAGCGUGGGUAGCAAACAGG